rnacentral:tRNA from 1 species
GCGAGGGUGGCCAAGCGGCUAAGGCGAUCGGCUGCAACCCGAUUAUUCGAGGGUUCGAGUCCCUCCCCUCGCU